rnacentral:rRNA from 1 species
UACGUAGGGGGCAAGCGUUGUCCGGAUUUAUUGGGCGUAAAGAGCGUGUAGGCGGCCAGACAGGUCUGCUGUGAAAACUCGAGGCUCAACCUCGAGACGCCGGUGGAAACCGUUUGGCUAGAGUCCGGAAGAGGAGAGUGGAAUUCCUGGUGUAGCGGUGAAAUGCGCAGAUAUUGGGAAGAACACCGGUGGCGAAGGCGGCGACCUGGUCCGUGACUGACGCUGAGGCGCGAAAGCGUGGGGAGCAAACAGG